rnacentral:rRNA from 1 species
UGGGGAAUUUCCCACAAUGGGCGAAAGCCUGACGGAGCAACGCCGCGUGAGGGAUGAAGGCCUCUGGGCUGUAAACCUCUUUUAUCCAGGAAGAAGAUCUGACGGUACUUGAUGAAUAAGCCACGGCUAAUUCCGUGCCAGCAACCGCGGUAAUA